rnacentral:lncRNA from 1 species
AAGAUACUUCCUUUUAAAACGAACUACAGAUUUCUUGCCCCUAAAGGUGACGUUAUUAAUGUUAGAUUGGGCUUAUUUGCUCUGUUGGAGGCAUUUGAAGUUCCCCACAAGUGUUGUGGUGAAACUCAGGGGGUCAAGCAAGCAGUGUCAGCAUUUGCUGUGCAUCUGUGUGAGGCUGGACGCCUCCAAAGUGUGUUGAAGGAUGUCUGCGAAAUC